GGUGAAUGAAUAUUUUCUCGUUCCGCGUAUAUAACCGAUCAUCACAAUCACAGGUGAUGUUUUAAUAUACUGUAAGUGCGUCAUCAGGCCUUCAUGUGUUUAAGUCAAGACAACAGGUGAAGAGAAAUUCUGCCAAAAAUAACGACAUACAAAUGAUUGGCCAUAAUGAAGCAGUGGAGGAUGGAGUUCUUUACGCACAGCGACUCCAGAUGUGCCAAAUGUCCUCUUCCGAAUCACCAGUAAAUCCACUCCUCCCUCUGCUGAUCAUAAGCCCUCUCAGCAGCUGGUGUCAGAGUGAAAUUGGACGAAUUUCGAGAUUUUCAGUCUUGUUAUUCAUCCCCUUAUCAAUAUGUCAUCUGGAGAUUGGACACAUCAGAAUGACUUGAGGGGGAGAAAUCAUCUACUGCCAUGUUCGCUUCCCAUCAAACUGUGAGACUGGCACAAAUAGAGGUCUGUACAGACUGUUCAGGGCACAAGGAGUCAUUGUUGAAUUCUGCAGAGGUUUUAAUGAAGACUAGUCCCUUUGUGAUUAUUUAUGCCAAUGCAGUUGAGAGCCGCACAAAGAUUCUGAUGCGAUGGAGGAUAAGUAACGAUUUUGUAUAUAAUUGUGAGCACUGAAUGCAUUUAGAUGGAAUUAGUUUUAAUACUGUACAGUAAAAAUCAAUAGCAGCUCUGUUGCUAAAUGGGAAAACUGUGAGCUUGUGGUUUGUGGGAAAAUAUGAGAAAAGUGAACAGAUGCGCUUGAUAAUAUCUAGUUUACUUUCUGUUAAGUACCUUAAAAAUCAUAAUCAUCCUAAUUAUUAAAUCUUAAAUGCCAUAAAUCUCACAAAACUUCACAAACUUUUCCAACUCAAGUGAAUAGUUCUUUAAAAGUAGAGCUGGGUAUUGAUACACAUUUUCUGAUUCGUAGCAUGAUUUUUGAUGAUUUAUGCUUUCCUUGCUCUCAGUUAGAGUUUGAUUCAGUUUAAUUGGAUUCCAAUUAAUUUUGUGUAUGUUUCAUUUACAGUGUCUAUUUUGCUUACAUAUGGUAAGGUGAUCCCUCUCUGCUAUGACUAUAAAUGAUAUAAAGAAUCUUCUAAUUUGGUACAUUAUGAAAUUAACAACAGGGCCCAAACUCUGCAGUUCAUA
ensembl:lncRNA